GUGCCAGCCGCCGCGGUAAUACGUAGGGUGCAAGCGUUGCCCGGAUUUAUUGGGCGUAAAGGGCGCGUAGGCGGUCACGCACGUCCGUUGUGAAAUCGCUCGGCUCAACUGGGCGGGGUCAGCGGAUACGGUGUGGCUGGAGCAAGCUAGGGGGCAAUGGAAUUCCCGGUGUAGUGGUGGAAUGCGUAGAUAUCGGGAGGAACACCAGUGGCGAAGGCGGUUGCCUGGAGCUUUGCUGACGCUGAUGCGCGAAAGCGUGGGGAGCGAUCCGGAUUAGAAACCCGCGUAGUCC
rnacentral:rRNA from 1 species